rnacentral:misc_RNA from 1 species
AACGCACAUUGCGCCCAUAGGUAUUCCUUUGGGCAUGUCUGUUUGAGCGUCAUUACAACCCUCAGCGCGAGCUGGUUAUGAGUUGGGCUUUUGAAAAUCUUGACCGAGAGGUUGAGGUUGAGGUGGAAUUCCCGGCUUUAAAGUUGUAUGCUCUGCUGGCCGCUCUGCCUGACCAAAACAUAGUAAAAACUACGACUGUUUAGAACGGCUUGCGUGCUCGGCCUGAAUGAAACCACAAUUUUUCUUAGGUUUGACCUCAGAUCAGACAAGGAUACCCGCUGAACUUAA